UUUUCGGCUUGGGAUGGGCUCGCGGCCUAUCAGCUUGUUGGUGGGGUGAUGGCCUACCAAGGCGACGACGGGUAGCCGGCCUGAGAGGGCGACCGGCCACACUGGGACUGAGACACGGCCCAGACUCCUACGGGAGGCAGCAGUGGGGAAUAUUGCACAAUGGGCGGAAGCCUGAUGCAGCGACGCCGCGUGAGGGAUGACGGCCUUCGGGUUGUAAACCUCUUUCAGCAGGGACGAAGCGUAAGUGACGGUACCUGCAGAAGAAGCGCCGGCCAACUACGUGCCAGCAGCCGCGGUAAGACGUAGGGCGCGAGCGUUGUCCGGAUUUAUUGGGCGUAAAGAGCUCGUAGGCGGCUUGUCGCGUCGACCGUGAAAACCUGGGGCUCAACCCCAGGCCUGCGGUCGAUACGGGCAGGCUAGAGUUCGGUAGGGGAGACUGGAAUUCCUGGUGUAGCGGUGAAAUGCGCAGAUAUCAGGAGGAACACCGGUGGCGAAGGCAGGCCUCUGGGCCGAUACUGACGCUGAGGAGCGAAAGCGUGGGGAGCGAACAGGAUUAGAUACCCUGGUAG
rnacentral:rRNA from 1 species